UUUAAGUGCAACCAUGAGUUUCCAUGCCCAAUUUUGAUCGUCUGUCUUAUUUGAAAUUUUUUUAUAAUUAGUAUUUUUUGUUGUUAUGAGAUGAUAAAACAUGAAUAGUACUUUAUGCGUGUCUUAUAUUUUUUAAAUUUUCUCAAUUUUUUUUAAAUAAGACGGAUGAUUAAAAUUGAGCACGGAAAAACAUGGAUGCACUUAAA
rfam:Oryza nivara chromosome 3, whole genome shotgun sequence.